UUGCUUAAUUUAAGUUAUUUUUGGAGGAAUUCCCAUCAAUACAAUCAUGUCACUGUUGGGAUUUGUUCUAAAAUACAAUCAUGACUCUGCCUGUAUGAUUUUUGUUUUUAUCUCCAAAACCAUAUGUUUGACUAUGUAUAUACUUGAUCCAAAUCAUGAUAAACCAAAUGGGAAAACAAACUCCCGAGUUUCUGUUGUUGGAAGUACGUGGAUCACUAGUUAUUGGCAAGACAAAAAGGUGAAGAAAGAUGAUUGUUUUUGCUGGAACAAUGAGACAAUAGCUUUUUUUCUUCUUCUUUAAUUAAUGAUAAAAGUUUGAUAAUUUUUACACAGUUUAUAAUUCGGAAAAUUAUUCUUUAGCAACAUUUAGAUAUGGUCCUCCUUCUCUAUCUUGAUAGUGGGAUUUGUCCUCUUUGUUAUUCUUUUUUAUAUUAAAAAUAAUCUUGCUGAUUAAAUUGUAUUAAGAAUCAAGAUAGUAUAUGUUCUCUAUAUCAAUUAAAACAACAUUGUAUAUUUGUAUUGGUCUUUUUAUAAACCAAGAACCAACUAAAAAAAGAGAAUAAAGUUGUUCUUUGAACCCAAAAACUUCAAGAUACAAAUAUGCAUGAGGCACGCGAAAGGGCUCUUUCUGUAACAGCAUGCCAAGGGGUUGCUUUCUGUGGCCAAAUUCAUGAUCACGGCUCUGCAACUAUUAAUUUUUUCGAGCCAAAUUUGUAACCGUAGCCAAACAUUCCUUUACCUUGGUCACAAGUCACAGCAUCAAUCAUGUAUGGUCUUUUGCAGUAUUGUUUGUUCUACCAUUUUGCAUUCUCUUUUUAAUGUAAGUGAUGUUAACUGCUGCAAGAUCUACUAGUAGCACAAAAAUUGAUUCUAGCUUAUAAAUAUCUGCAUUGUUUUCCUUGCUUUUAUCCUUUGCCUGUUUGUCACAAGGAUCAGAUUCACAUAGAUUUGGGUUUUGCACCAAUGAAUGAGGCUAUUCAGUUUCAUAUCAUCUGUCUCACAAAGUAUUUGAGCUCCUUAUUUUCUACGCACUCUGUUCCACAUUUUACUGCACUAGUUAGUUCCCUCUCUGCACUUGGCAGCGCCUCUAAAUCAAGUUUGAGGGCAGCAAAAUCUUUUUCAGGUACCUUUUUAAACUAACUACCAAUGCAAAGCUUGUCUUCUAUGUUAAGGCUUGUAGCCUCUAGGCAUAUAUUAACUUCUAAGUCUCAUAUGUUAUGAGAUAUUUUACCCUAAAAUAUAUAAAACAUUAUUCUCUGUAUAGCACAAAAAUCAAUCAAGAGAACCAUCCAUGUUUCUACACCUCUUUUGGUCUUUUUCUCCCUAUAAUUACUCCCAUUAUUUUAAGCGGUAUUUGCACAACCACCAAUAUAGUAUGAUAGUAUUAUUUGUUACUAUGAGAUCUGUCAAAACAACUCAGCACCCACUAAUCAAAUUAAUUGUGAGGAAGACUAACUCAGUAUCUUUAUUUGUUGCUUAGUUUUGGAAGGAUCUUAAAUUCUUGUAUUUGGAGGCUGGAGCCAAGGUGUCACAAAUCAUUCAAGUCAACGAAUGCUGUUUCAGCACUAUACAAAUAUAUUACUAAGCAAUGAGCAUGGUUAGUGCACUGCAAACGGCAAACACUUGAGAUUCCUUGUGCUUUUAGAAACCCAGAGAUCUGAAUACAUUACAUCGAUCUACCUACAACAACUUCCCUCAACCCCCUUCAUUCUUUUCUCAUCAUCUUCUGGACUUGAUUUUCAAUCAUGGCUGCAAAACUUGAGGGUCGAGCUUAUCUCUCUUCUUUUGUUGAUGCUGUUUCAAAGAAGCUGUCUUCAAUACUUGAAGAUGACUUUGUACUCGAAAGAAACGACUCUGAGCUGAAGUUGCUUGAAAGGUUGGAUGAUUGUCUGUGUGAUGUUGGACCUGUGCUUGAUGAUGCUGAGCUGAAGCAGUUCAGUGACGAGAGAGUGAAGAAGUGGCUUGUUGAUCUCCAAGAUGCUCUCUAUAUGGCUGAUGACUUUCUCGAUGAACUCUCCACUAAAGCUGCUACUGCUACUCCAAGGGAUCCAGGUAACUCUUAUGACUGGUCUCGCCCUGUUGAUUCAAUUAUUGAAGAUAGCGGUGUCAAUGUCAUUGAAAAUAUAGUUGGCAAACUAGAGUCUGGUGUACGACGAAAAGGUAAACUUUGUCUGAGAGAGAGUGCCAAGGUGGACUUCUCAUCAUGGAGAAUUCCAACAACAUCUCUUGUUUUAAGUUCCGACAUAUUUGGUCGGGACAAAGACAAGAAUGAGAUAAUCAAAAAGCUGUUAGAUGAUACCCGUGAUGCCGAAUCACCUGUGACUGUGAUCCCUAUUGUGGGUAUGGGUGGAAUAGGAAAAACUACUUUGGCUCAACUGGUUUACAAUGAUGCCAAAGUCGUGGGAAAAUUUGACACUAGAGCAUGGGUUUGUGUUGCUGAAAAUCCUGACCCUGUUAAUGUUACAAGGACAAUAAUAGGGGCAAUAGAUUCUUCUCCCUGUAACAUAGAUCAUUUUGAUUCACUUCAGACCGAUUUGAAGAAAAAAUUGACAGGAAUGACAUUUUUAGUUGUUUUAGACGAUGUCUGGAAUGAUCGACGAGACAUGUGGGAGAAUUUUCUAAAACCUUUUCAAUAUGGAAAUGAUGGAAGUAAGAUUCUCCUAACAACCCGUAGUGAAAAGGUUGCUUCUGUGUUCGCAGCUAACAAUCUACAUUAUCGACUAAGUUUAUUGUCGAAGGAAGACUGUUGGUCUGUGUUUUUGAAGCAUUCAUCCAUUUCUACUAAUUCUAAACAAUAUGCAGCUCUAGAACCAAUUGGUAGAAAAAUUGUUGAAAAGUGUAAGGGGUUACCUUUGGCUGUGAAGACACUUGGGGGCUUGUUGCGCAAUAAGUAUAAUGAAGGGGAUUGGGAGAAUAUACUUGAAUGUAAAAUCUGGGAACUCUCUGAAGAUGACAAUAUGAUUGUUCCUGCAUUAAGAGUUAGUUAUCACUACCUCCCUUCACAUUUAAAGCGGUGUUUUGUAUAUUGCUCAUUAUUUCCUGAGGAUUAUGAAUUUGACAAAGAUGAAUUAAUUUUGUUAUGGAUGGCUGAAGAUCUUUUACAAUCAAAGGAGAACAACACAUUAGAAAAAAUUGGUUGUUCUUAUUUUGAUGAAUUAGUUGCAAGGUCAUUUUUUCAACCUUCUAGUACUCAGAGAGGGUUAUUUGUAAUGCAUGAUCUCAUGCAUGAUCUAGCAACUUUUUUUGCUGGGAAAUUCUAUUUCAAACUCAAAGAAUUUGGCCAUCUACACAAGAUAGACAACAAAACUCGUCAUUUGUCAUAUGCUACAAAAUAUGAGGAUAGCAUCAAAUUAUUUCAAGGUGCCUAUAAUGGAGCAAUACACAUCAGAACAUUUUUAGAUCUUACUUGGCUUUGCUAUGGUCAAUCAAUUGAUAUUGAAAGCGAUUCUUGGCUCUUACGACAACAAUUUGUGUGUUUAAGAGUUAUGUCAUUUAAACACUUUUCUAUAGAGUCAUUGCCUGAUUCCAUAGGUGAAUUGAUUCAUUUGCGUUAUUUGAAUGUCUCUAACACACCUAUUGUGACAUUGUCCGAGUCAUUAUGUAAGUUAUACAAUCUCCAAACUUUGAAGUUGAGAAAUUGUUUUAAGCUAGAGAUGCUUCCCAGUCGCAUGCAAGAUCUCGUUAACCUGCACUACCUUGACAUUCGAGGUGCUUUUCGUCUGAAAGAGAUGCCGAAGGAAAUGAGCAAGUUGAAACAUCUAAACUUCUUAAGUGAUUAUAUCGUGGGCAAGCACGAAGAGAAUGGGAUAAGAGAAUUGGGAACACUGGACAAUCUUCAUGGCUCAUUUUGCAUUUCCAACUUGGAGAACAUCAAGAAUAGUGGUGAAGCUUUGAAGGCAAAGAUGGGUAACAAGAAGCACAUCAACACUUUAACAUUGAAUUGGCUUCCAAAGGGUGACAUUGAUGAUUUUCAAAGUGAAAGAGAUAUACUUGACAAGUUACAACCUCAUCAAAACUUGAAAGAGUUAUCAAUUAAGGGUUAUCGUGGUGAAACAUUCCCAGAUUGGUUAGGCCUUUCUUGCUACUCUAAUUUGACCAAAUUGAAUCUGUACUUUUGUAUGAAUUCUUGUGAACUUCCUUCACUGGGACAGUUACCCUCUUUACAGCAUCUGGAAUUUUCUGAACUUGAUGGGUUGGAGAAAAUUGAUUUGGCGUUUUACAACAACAGUGGAUCAUUCGAGCAGGAGACACCCUUCAAAUCUCUAGAAACUCUGAAAAUUGAGAACAUGGCUAAUUGGCGGGAGUGGCAUUUUCCUGAUGAGUUCGAUGGUUUUCCUGAGCUUAGAAUCCUUUCAAUAAUAAACUGUCCGGUGUUAAGUGGAGGUCUGCCUGCUCACCUUCCGGCUCUGCAGGAACUUACCAUUGUUGAAUGUGAAGAGCUUGCUUGUUUGCUGCCGAGGGCUCCGAAGCUUCACCAAUUAAAUGUAGAGGGUGAUGGAUUUCCUACGAUGAUUGCGGCACCGCAAAAUGUAGUAAUUUCAAAAACCCAGCUGGCGAAGUCCGUACUGGAGUGCCUGUCCCACAUCCAACAGCCACGUGUCCAAUUCCUGCAUAUCAGUAACUGUCAGUCAGCCAUAUCAAUUUCAGCAAAUUGUUUGCCCGCUUCUUUAAAAUACCUGAGAAUCCGUAAUUGUUCAAAAUUAACGUUCUCAGAGCAACUGCAACACAAAACCCUAACGGAGAUCUAUGUAGCGGGGUGUGGUUCACUGACGGUGUUUCCAGUGGGGUCCCUUCCAGAUCUCAACAAACUCACGAUCCGUAAAUGCCAAAGAAUGAAAUAUGUUGAGGUUCCACAGGCUCUUCCAAGUCUCCGUUAUUUAAGCAUCUCGGACUGCCGCAAUUUAGUAUCCUUGCCGCCGCUAGGGUUGGCUGCGCUCCACCUAGAGCAGCUCUGUAUAAACAAAUGCCCAGAAAUUGAUUGUUUUGAUGAGAAGUGUCUCCCGCAGAGUUUGGAAACACUUGAAAUCAAGCAAUGCCAGAAACUAGCGAGUUGGAUAACAUCAAAGGGUUUGCAGAGUCAAGGCCGUACCCGUCUUAUUCUUGAUCAAUGAUAUGAAGUUAAGUGGUUCUAGAAUUCUGGAACUUUCCAAAUUGGCUUCAUCAUCUCCGAGGCAUAAGCUGGAAGACCCACGGAUUCAAUUCUCUUGAUAUUCAAAGCAGCUGAUGUGCCCAGAGAGUGGGAAGUGCACUAUGUAUGUAGGGACUGAAAUUGACCCUAGAACACAGAGCUCUACACCAAGCUGCAACAUUGGUGAGGGAGGUAUUGCACUAGCUGAGUCUAUACAUGGUUCAGCACCUGAUAUUGCUGGAAAGAAUUUGGCAAAUCCAACUGCUUUACUGCUGAGUGGUGUUUCAAUGUUGCGCCAUUUGAAUCUCCAUGACAAAGCCGACCAAAUUCAAAACGCCAUCCUCAGCACAAUUGCAGAAGGGAAGUACCAAACUGCCGAUCUUGGAGGCAAAGCAAAGAAACUGAGUUCACGAAUGCAAUUAUUGAUCAUCUCUAUAUUAUGCUCUUGAGUAGGCAAGGAAUUGCUGCUAAUUUUGUUUUCUGUUAAUUUCCUAUUUAUUUUUUCCCGACUUUUUUCGAGGAGUAGGAUUACCUCAUCAUAAUGGGAAAACCCAUCUAAGGGAGUGACUUUAUAACCACAUGGCAUGGGCAAGCCUUAAAAUAUUGGGUGCCUAUGCAGUGUUAUGGACUUGAGAGGGACAGAGGGUUGGAGUCUCUAAAAUGUACUUUGUCUGAUAACCCUCCUUGGUCCAUUUUAGUAUUCUUUGUCAAUAAUAUAGUUAAGUAAAUGAAGUACCAUUAGUUUGUUUUUA